AUCCAGGUGACUAGUCCCAAACAGGACGAAAUGCGCAUCCUGGAU
rnacentral:hammerhead_ribozyme from 1 species